CCUUCUUGAGCCUGCGCUCGCGGGACGCCUGCGAGUCGGUCUCCGAGUACGGGGGCGGCGCGGGCGGGUAGUAGGCCUCUUCCUCCUCCUCCUUGUGGGGUCUCCUCCUCUCCUCCGACCCCUUCUUCCUCACAGCCUCCUGCAGUAGCCGCCCAUCAUAGGGGAGGUCCCCGGACCUGGAGCCGUUGUCCCGAGGGUCCCGGGUACGGUGGUGCUGGGACCUGGGGUCGGCAGGAGGGCGCUCCCGAGACCUUAAGUCGUCGUAGUGGGGGUCCCGGGAGCGUGGGAAGUCCCUCGAGUCGUCUUGGUCAUAGAGGUCGUCCCGGCUGCGGCUCCGCGGGGGCAUGUAGGCCCGGCUUCUCCUCCCACCACUACUCGUGGGAGACCUGCUCCCUGACUCGGCGGUGCUCGGCGGGGUGAGGUCGUCCAGGGCGUCCACGGAGCGGGCCCGGGGCCGCCUGGCCCGCCAGCCCCCGCCUGCCUGCUCCCUGGCGGGCUCCUGGUCCCAUCCCCUGGGACUCCGGGGGGAGUGGCCACCCCACUCCUCAUCCCGGAUAGGGGUGAGGGCAGGGCCCCGGGAAGGCCGAGAUCGCCAGUCGUCCUCGUGGAGGGAGGUGACUUCACUCAUGGCUGCAGGGAAGGGGGGGUGUCACUGACUGCUGGAGGAGCCCGGGGUCCAGGGUUUGCACCAAGAGUCCCUGCGGCAGGUAUCAGGGAGACAUGCUUCACCCCCCCACCUUAAAAGCCCUCAGACCCCAAGGCUCUUGCUUACCCCGCUCCACACGGCCAUUGGGGGGGCCAGGUCGAGAAGGGUCGAAGUUGGCCAGCUCCUUCUCCAUGUAGUACAGGACCCGCAUGGAGUCGUCCUGCUGGCUGGCCUGAAUCCUGUAGCCACUGCGGACUUCUAGGGACAGGGGGGUGGUGGUCGGUUUGGGAGGAUGGAUCCUGGCCCACCCCUCUCCCUUACAGGCGCAUCCAACUUCGGGAUGAUGGAUUCUCACCAGAGGCCACACUGCUGUCCGUGUCCCGAAGCAGGGGUACAUAGGAGCCUUGGCCACCAGCUGGGGGAGAGUGGCUGUCAGUGGCCGCGCACCAGGAGCAGAGCCCCUCCUCGGCUCCUAAGACACUCUUCCUUCCAGCCCCUGCCCCUCAGUGUCCAGAUGCCCAGCACACCCCCACCAGCUGUUCCUGCUUCCCCCGACCUCACCUGAGCUACUCCUGUCAACGUCUCCAGGCUAACUUACUGGAAGAAGUGGCCACCCCAUGGUCUGU
rnacentral:lncRNA from 1 species